UACGUAGGGUGCGAGCGUUAAUCGGAAUUACUGGGCGUAAAGCGUGCGUAGGCGGUUCGUUAAGUGCGUCGUGAAAGCCCCGGGCUCAACCUGGGAAUGGCGAUGGAAACUGGCGGGCUGGAGUAUGGCAGAGGGGGGUGGAAUUCCGCGUGUAGCAGUGAAAUGCGUAGAGAUGCGGAGGAACACCGAUGGCGAAGGCAGCCCCCUGGGCCAAUACUGACGCUCAGGCGCGAAAGCGUGGGGAGCAAACAGG
rnacentral:rRNA from 1 species